UGGGGAAUCUUGCGCAAUGGUCUAACGACUGACGCAGCGACGCCGCGUGUGGGAGGACGCCUUUCGGGGUGUAAACCACUGUUGCCCGGGACGAACUGGUUCCUUCAGGGACCGUGACGGUACCGGGUGAGGAAGCACCGGCUAACUCCGUGCCAGCAGCCGCGGUAAUACGGAGGGUGCGAGCGUUGUCCGGAAUCAUUGGGCGUAAAGGGCGCGUAGGUGGCCCGGUCAGUCUUUGGUGAAAGCGCGGGGCUCAACCCUGCGUCGGCCAGGGAUACUGCCGCGGCUCGAGCACUGUAGAGGCAGGCGGAAUUCCGGGUGUAGCGGUGGAAUGCGUAGAGAUCCGGAAGAACACCGGUGGCGAAGGCGGCCUGCUGGGCAGUAUGGCUGACACUGAGGCGCGACAGCGUGGGGAGCAAACAG
rnacentral:rRNA from 1 species